UGAACGUGGCUAUGAGAAGUGUUCAAAGUCCAGACAAGAGAUUGCGUGACAAAAACGUUGUUCAAAGGAUACAGGGUAGAGAGGGUCUGACUCAAGAAUGGGGAAAUGCUUAACAAGAAAGAAACGGAUGAAAACCGAACAGAAGGUGUUUGAAUGUUAAAUGACGAGACAGAGGCGUUGAUGCGAGUAACCAGUCUUGUUCCGUAUAUUGCAAUACAUCCGGGUAUUUCAAGCACACCGGUAAAAAACACUGGAGUUGCAGUAAUUAACAUUUACCAACAGAUGGCAUCACUGUGCCAUCUUACACCCAUAACAGAAGGGGCCAUGGGGCGCUGUGUUGUAUUUUAAAUAGUUAAAUCUAUUAUCAAUUUCUAUUGUGACUUGUAAUGUUAAAAAAAGGUAGAGAAAAAUAACUCCUGUUUAUCUGAAUUAGUUAGGCUCACAUUGAUAGGCUACACAGAUUUGAGUCACUGCAAUUAAAUUGUUUUCCCAAUGUAUCCUUCAAUUCAAUAGUUUUCACUAUGUAUUGCAUGUUUGAGAUUAUAUACUAUUAAACAUGUUUGUAACUUAAUAUUAAUAAAUGGCCAGGAGGUU